GUAGGUGGCAAGCGUUGUCCGGAAUUAUUGGGCGUAAAGCGCGCGCAGGCGGUCCUUUAAGUCUGAUGUGAAAGCCCACGGCUCAACCGUGGAGGGUCGUUGGAAACUGGGGGACUUGAGUACAGAAGAGGAAAGCGGAAUUCCAAGUGUAGCGGUGAAAUGCGUAGAGAUUUGGAGGAACACCAGUGGCGAAGGCGGCUUUCUGGUCUGUAACUGACGCUGAGGCGCGAAAGCGUGGGGAGCAAACAGGAUUAGAUACCCUGGUAGUCCACGCCGUAAACGAUGAGUGCUAAGUGUUAGGGGGUUUCCCGCCCCCCUUAGUGCUGCAGCUAACGCAUUAAGCACUCCGCCUGGGGGAGUACGGCCGCAAGGCUG
rnacentral:rRNA from 1 species